ACCCCGGGCCGCGGCGCCCGCCCGCGGGGAGGCCCUUCGGCCAGGCUGGGUCCCCGGGGCUCCCGUGCGGCGCCCGGGGAGCGAGGGGAGCCGGGCAGGUGGCGCUUGGCCGGCCCCCUCCCCUGCUUCAGGCCACACGGGCGGUGCUGCGCAGCUGGCAACGUGUCGCCGCAGCGCCUUUCCCCCAGCCGCCUGCCUUACAAGGCUCGAAAGUAAAAAUAAAAAGAAUUACGACGCAAGCGAGGCUUCCGAGGGUGAGCAGAGAGGAUUCACUUCUCUCCCAACUACUACCGCAGCACUCCCGAGGCGGGUCCGGUCCUCCUCCGCCAGGAGCCUCUUGCCUCCUGGGGACGGAAAAAACUGAACCCCAGCCUUCGCCUCGGAGGUCGGGAGGAUGGCCGCCACGACUGAGGGGGAGGUGGACCCCAAAUGCAACGUUCUCCCCGGUGCGCAGCGCUAAGGGGUCCCCAUCAGACUUCCACAACCGGGAAGAAAGCUAGUCUCCCCCCGUCCUUCACCGUUCUGAGUUUCGUAAACUAAAGUGAUAAUUUGCAGACCCCCAGGAAUGGGGUGGCCGCUCCUCCCAGUCUACUGGCACGUCCAGAGACCGGCCACCCACUGCUGAAGGCACACCAGCCGGCUGCCUUUGGAGAGGAUGAAAGCAGGGCCCAACAGGACACCCUGCUGGUGACAUAAAUAAAAGAGGACGGCUCACCGCUCCCAGGUAGCUAAGCCAGCAGGUUCUACAAAGAGAAGCCCAAAGCCAUCCUCCCACGCCCACCUCAACCGUGGACAGCUAUGAAGAGUGAUCUGUGAACUGGGCUGAAGACUCCUCCAGCUGGCCAGUAACUUGUAACCUAGCCAGACCCCCCCGACACACACACACCCCACCCUCGGGUGCGGGGGAGAAAGAUGUGCCAAGAGAUGUCAGGUGGUGUUAUCCUAGAGAGAAAGGGAAGAACGAGACCUCCGCUGGAAGGCCUGGAAGGUCCUAAGUGAGGAAGCUCCGAAUGAACUGAAGCACAGCAAAGGAGCGGGGCAGUGGCUUCUCCUGACCUCCCCAGGGACACUGCCUACAGCUGAGAGCUUGCCCUGCAGGAGACUGCCGAUCUUGAACCUCUGGACCACGCUUUCCUACUGUUCACUCUCUGUGGAUGUCAUGAUGUAUUGAAAGGGUCAGACUAACUUUGUAACCUGUAUGUCUUUUAAAGCCUAUAGUUUUGAGUUUUAGGUUCAGGUUAAGCUAAAGCCUCUUAGUACCUUUCCAGAGAAUGAAAAAAUGUGACCCUAUCUGUGAGGACAGAUAGAAAAAAAAAAAGCUAGCAAGCAAUGACCUUCACUCAGCAAAAAGAACGACCAGACCCUUGUCCUUGAGAUAAUGUUUCUUAGCAACCAACCCUUCUGAGUAGCUCCUGACCUCCAGCCAAAAGUCUGCAGCCCCAAUCUUCAAGGAUGAGCUAACCACCCCCACCUUCAAUUGCAGCUGCAUCCACACUUGGCAGGACUGGCCAAGCUUGAGCACCUAAGACUAACCAAUUAUCUUACUUUAUAGCUUCCUCAUCCAAUCCUUAAUUGCCAAAACUGCAACUUCAAAUUUCCCGAAAUUUUUCUUUUAAAAACCUAAAGGCCUCUGUCUCCCGGUGCCACUCUUUGCUGACCGGCAGGGGUGACCCCAUUGCCCAAUGGUUAAUAAACCUCUUGCUUUUGCAA